rnacentral:rRNA from 1 species
GUCCACGCCCUAAACGAUGUCAACUGGUUGUUGGGAAUUAUUUCUCAGUAACGAAGCUAACGCGUGAAGUUGACCGCCUGGGGAGUACGGCCGCAAGGUUAAACUCAAGGAAUUGACGGGACCCGCACAAGCGGUGGAUGAUGUUCUUUAAUUCGAUGCAACGCGAAACCUUACCCACCUUUGACAUGUAUGGAAUCCUUUAGAGAUGAAGGAGUGCUCGAAAGAGAGCCAUAACACAGGUGCUGCAUGGCUGUCGU